rnacentral:pre_miRNA from 1 species
GGAGGCGGCUGAAUGGGAGGCCGGGCAGUGGAUGCCGCCCUGCAUCCACUGCCCGGCCUCCCAUUCAGCCAUGGGC